UGGUUUCCAUAUGUUUUGNUUGUUAAUUGUUGGGUUCUCAUCUGUGCUUAAUGCUUUUAUCGUUUAACUCAUUCGAUAAUUGUUGUUUGUCUUUAUUAAUACGGGGACGUACAGUAUUGUCAUGAACUGGUGAGUAAUUCCUUGAUUAAGCAAUACCACCUAAGGAUAAGGGUAGGACGAUCAAUUGUUUUUAACUUCUGCUCUAUAAUGCUUUAUUAUUUGCUAGGGGAGGCUAGGGAUAGCAAGCAGUAAUUAGUAAUAGGCUCUUUUCGCCGAGAGAUCGGGUUAAGGGUAGGCUAAGAAAGUUGCAUGACAAUUAAUUAAUCAAGCUAAUAAUUCAAGAGGAGAAAAUAAGAGAGAGCGGAUAAGAUGAAAUUGUAAACCCCCAACAACUCCAUUCAUCCAUUGUUUUCUUCUUGUCAAUUGAAUCAAUCUCUUUUGCAUGUUUAUAUUUUAUUCACACAUCCAAUUAAUUAAUUUUUAUUUUCAAGUCUUACGAUUUUAAUUCACGCGAACGAUAAGGCCU
rnacentral:lncRNA from 1 species